CUACGGGAGGCAGCAGUGGGGAAUCUUGCACAAUGGAGGAAACUCUGAUGCAGCGAUGCCGCGUGAGUGAAGAAGGCCUUUGGGUUGUAAAGCUCUUUCGUCGGGGAAGAAAAUGACUGUACCCGAAUAAGAAGGUCCGGCUAACUUCGUGCCAGCAGCCGCGGUAAUACGAAGGGACCUAGCGUAGUUCGGAAUUACUGGGCUUAAAGAGUUCGUAGGUGGUUGAAAAAGUUGGUGGUGAAAUCCCAGAGCUUAACUCUGGAACUGCCAUCAAAACUUUUCAGCUAGAGUAUGAUAGAGGAAAGCAGAAUUUCUAGUGUAGAGGUGAAAUUCGUAGAUAUUAGAAAGAAUACCAAUUGCGAAGGCAGCUUUCUGGAUCAUUACUGACACUGAGGAACGAAAGCAUGGGUAGCGAAGAGGAUUAGAUACCCUCGUAGUCCAUGCCGUAAACGAUGUGUGUUAGACGUUGGAAAUUUAUUUUCAGUGUCGCAGCGAAAGCGAUAAACACACCGCCUGGGGAGUACGACCGCAAGGUUAAAACUCAAAGGAAUUGACGGA
rnacentral:rRNA from 1 species